AAUGAACGCUGGCGGCGUGCUUAACACAUGCAAGUCGAGCGAGAAAGUUUCCUUCGGGAAGCGAGUAAAGCGGCGGACGGGUGCGUAACACGUGGAUGACCUGCCUGAGAGUGGGGAAUAACUUGGGGAAACUCGAGCUAAUACCGCAUACGCUCGUACGGUUGCGACCGUGCGAGGAAAGCUGGCCUCUGUUUACAAGCUGGCGCUCACAGAGGGGUCCGCGCCUGAUUAGCUAGUUGGUGGGGUAACGGCCUACCAAGGCGACGAUCAGUAGCCGGCCUGAGAGGGUGAUCGGCCACACUGGGACUGAGACACGGCCCAGACUCCUACGGGAGGCAGCAGUGGGGAAUAUUGGACAAUGGGGGAAACCCUGAUCCAGCAACGCCGCGUGGAGGAUGAAGGCCUUCGGGUCGUAAACUCCUGUCAGUAGGGACGAAAAGCCCUUGGUCAACAGCCUUGGGUCAUGACGGUACCUGCAGAGGAAGCCCCGGCUAACUCCGUG
rnacentral:rRNA from 1 species